rnacentral:rRNA from 1 species
UACGUAGGGGGCAAGCGUUGUCCGGAUUUAUUGGGCGUAAAGAGCGUGUAGGCGGCUAGAUAGGUCCGUUGUGAAAACUCGAGGCUCAACCUCGAGACGCCGGUGGAAACCAUCUAGCUAGAGUCCGGAAGAGGAGAGUGGAAUUCCUGGUGUAGCGGUGAAAUGCGCAGAUAUCAGGAAGAACACCCAGUGGCGAAGGCGGCUCUCUGGGACGUGACUGACGCUGAGACGCGAAAGCGUGGGGAGCAAACAGG